AAGCAGAGUCUAUUGCUCACUGCAGUAACAGAGAGCUCCGUCUUCAGAGUCUUGGUAACAUUUCGCUGAGAGGACAACCCAAUCACACUGUUUAGGAGAUUUUGGAUUCUGACUAAGGUGCCUGGAGCAAAAAUGUGUCCAGAAUUGGUGGGUUGUUGGUCUCGCUGACCUCAAGAACGGAGCCGUGGACCCUCGCGGUGAUUUUGUUUAGGGUAUCUUCCAGGUGUUUCUUCAGAUCUUGAAUUUUUGCCAUGUUUGGGUUUUCUAUUAUAGGGAAAAUACUAAAUUGCGCAUUGUAGCAGAGGGAAACAAGCUGGUGGUGGGAGCGGAUAGAAGAAAAUGAAGACGGCUCCAAACCUGGGGAGCGCGCAAGAAGAUGACACAAACUUUUGAAAUAACAUGAACACGGACAAGGGGAGUCAGAGGCAGAAGAGAAGGUGUUGUGAUGACAGAAGCAGAGAUCUGAGUGACUCACUUUGAAGAUGGAGGAAGAGGUCACAGGCCAAGUGAUACAGAUGCCAGGAGAAGCUGA
rnacentral:lncRNA from 1 species